rnacentral:piRNA from 1 species
UAACAAGAAGGAAGAUAAGCAUCCAUUUU